rnacentral:sRNA from 1 species
GCCAGGUGCAGUGGGUGCACCUGUAAUCCCAGUGACUAGGAGGGUGAGGUAGGAGGAUUGUAGGUUCACAGGUAGCUUUGGCAAGUUAGUGAGGUCUUCAGUAACUUAGUGAGACCCUGCCUCAA